UAGUCAUAUGCUUGUCUCAAAGAUUAAGCCAUGCAUGUCUAAGUAUAAACAAAUUUAUACCGUGAAACUGCGAAUGGCUCAUUAAAUCAGUUAUAGUUUAUUUGAUGGUCUUUUUCUACAGGGAUAACUGUGGUAAUUCUAGAGCUAAUACCUGCAUAAAAACCCCGACUUCUGGGAGGGGUGUAUUUAUUAGAUUCAAAAUCAAUGACGUUCGCGUCUUCUGAUGAUUCAUAAUAACUUCUCGAAUCGCAUGGCCUUGUGCCGGCGAUGCUUCAUU
rnacentral:rRNA from 1 species